CGCCCGCCCGCCGCCCGCUCCGCCGCCCGGGGCCGCCGCGGCACCGCCGCCCGCCCCAGGUAGCCCUUGGGGAUGUGCUCAGCAGCGGGCCUGGGAAGCGUUCACCAAAACAAUCGCUCGGGCUGGCCUAAUCCAAUGAGUUUAUUUUAGUCCUCGAGCUAUAUUGAAAACAUUCGCUCUGCUUCUUGUGGUUGUUUACAGUAUGUUGGUCUCAACAUCAUAGCCGCCCUUCUGGAAAAGUCUUACAGGAUUCAGGCAGAGGGAAACCAACACAGAAGUGACUCGGAAAGCAUGAUGGCAAAUGAUUAAUCAAAUCAGAGACAGAAAGGCGGAGUUAUGAUUUUCGAUGACAAGAGCCAGCACGGGGUGAAUGCAGGCACGGGGUGGCCCCGACCCGCGGGCUGGCCCUCGAGGGACAUGUCACUGACAACGGAUGGGCAUCUGGCGCUUGGCUGGGGCAGGGGCGUCUGAAGAAAAACCGCGGGGCUUCGGUGUUGCUUUUAACAAGAUGUUCAGAAAAAAAAAAGUAUCAGAAUCAGACACACGUUGACUGCGCUUCCUCUGCUCCUUGCUUUGGAGGUGAUAUCGCUUGGUGCUUAUCAGCGACAACGUCUGCGGCAUCUGGCUUGGCACCAGGAUGAGGCCCGGGAGUUUUAUCUGAGUAAAGGCUACUAGAUCCACUCUGAGGAUGCAGUAGAUUAAUUGAUCAUUUCUAGGGAGUCUGUUGGGAUGAAUCAAAAACCUUAAAAGCACUGGCAGCAUCUGUGAUAGGCCGUUAACAAGGCUGAUGGUGAUGAAGAAGCAAUGUGGCCUCGAUGCUGCUCAAACCCUACCAGCCCUGACCAGGAGCUGCAUGUGAGGCCUUCUUUUUCACCCGUGAAAGGGUGCCAAGCACAGCCCAGUCAGCAUUGUGAGCUCUCAUUUGUUACAUUUAAAGAGUAUUUUUAGAAGUGUGGAGAAUAUCUCUGCAUGUUUCAAAGUAUCAAUGCUAUUACACAGCCCAAAAUUACUUGACAGCUCAGAAAGCAAAAGCAAUUGAUACCCGAAUCCAGGUCUGCUCCUUAAGUAUUCACAUGUGCGAAACAAUAUGUGAUCCACAAAAACAUAUGGCUCUUGUAUCAAAUACAUGGAAUCAAGUUGAAUUAUGAAGACUUUGAAAACGUCCUCAGUUUAAAUGUACACGGCUCUCUGAAAUGUCCAGCUAAGUUUAAUGCAACAAUUAAAACCAGAUAGAUUGUCAGGAUUCAUAGACCGGGGAUAGAGUUAAUUCAGUAUGAAAGAAAUGAAUGACUGGAAAGAAGACAGAAGAGCAGAAGUGGCAGGAAAAGAAUAAGAAUGAGUGGAGGGAUGAAAUGCUAGUAUGGGGGGGUAGGGAGAGUGAGGAAUAGAAGGGGGAAAGAAAGAAGUGAAAUUAACGAGAAAGAAAAACAUGAAAGAUGGAGAUGAGAUAGGAAAGAGAAGGAGAGCAGCAAGAAAAAUAAUGACACUUUAUUGUGUCAUCUCUCAGCUUUUACUGUAGAAAAACUAAGCCUGUAGCAUGAAGGUUACUACUUAUGUAUUGAAAGUGCGUGGGAGGGGUUUUUUUCCAUAGUUAUAGAUAUAUAUGUGUGUGUCCAUGUAAUUACAUACAAAAAAUGACACAGAAAUUUCAGUCUUCCUGGGGAUCUCCCACUGUUCCCCAUAUUCUCAGUUUUCCCACGCUGCCACAAUUCCAGCAGCAGUAAUGCCUUUUUCCAUGCAGUGCUGUGAGCCAGGACUUUCUGUUUCAGUUUGCUGGUUUUUUCUGUCCUGCCUUCUAAGAGCUGGAAAUGGGGGUUCUGGCUCCUCUGUCCUGCAGCCCCCAACUUUGGGGCUGUCCACUUAGAUAUCACAGUUGUUUGCAAUUGCUGUUUCCUCCUGUUGAUACUCAUGGCAACAUUUUCAUUUUGCACUGACUGAUCCAAAAUAUAUCAACUGUUUUGUUGUUGAAUUAGUGUCAUUGUUUUUGCCUUGUCUGUUCCUGUGCAUGCAAGCUGCUAGUAAAACAGCAUAACUUUUCAUGCUUUUUAGGGCUGAAAGAGUCAUUGAGUGAUCUUGAAAUUAUCUAUUUGAUAAUUCAACAAUGCUAAAUAUUGACCACAAUCUCUCUGCCUUCUUUAAGAUAGGCCCUUUCUUACUGUAUCAUCAUCUUCUACCUUUGACUUGGGCACUACUGGGACCAUCAGUGGCAUAUCUUUGACUGAGAGUGUUUAUGCUCAUGGCCAGUAAAUUGUGCUCUGUUAUUGUGUGGGGAAUAACACACUCAGCAAG
rnacentral:lncRNA from 13 species